rnacentral:rRNA from 1 species
GAUGAACGCUGGCGGCGUGCCUAAUACAUGCAAGUCGAGCGAACAGACGAGGGGCUUGCUCCUCUGACGUUAGCGGCGGACGGGUGAGUAACACGUGGAUAACCUACCUAUAAGACUGGGAUAACUUCGGGAAACCGGAGCUAAUACCGGAUAAUAUAUUGAACCGCAUGGUUCAAUAGUGAAAGACGGUUUUGCUGUCACUUAUAGAUGGAUCCGCGCCGCAUUAGCUAGUUGGUAAGGUAACGGCUUACCAAGGCAACGAUGCGUAGCCGACCUGAGAGGGUGAUCGGCCACACUGGAACUGAGACACGGCCCAGACUCCUACGGGAGGCAGCAGUAGGGAAUCUUCCGCAAUGGGCGAAAGCCUGACGGAGCAACGCCGCGUGAGUGAUGAAGGUCUUCGGAUCGUAAAACUCUGUUAUUAGGGAAGAACAAAUGUGUAAGUAACUAUGCACGUCUUGACGGUACCUAAGCAGAAAGCCACGGCUAACUACGU